ensembl:lncRNA
GGGUACUCGGCAGCAGGUCAGGCUGGUGCGUGUCUGCACACCAUGGCGGUGGUACAGGCGUACCAAGCUGAUCUGCUGAAAGAUUUAGAUUAGCAAGAGCAUGUGAGAUCUGAGGAUAUCACGGAGCUCAGGAGGACCGCAGAUUCGUCUCUCCGCGCUACCAAGGAGACCGCUCGUGCUAUUGGGCGGUCUAUGGCAGCAAUGGUGGCAGCAGAGAGACAUUUGUGGCUCACCUUGUCCGACAUGAGAGAAAAGGACAGGGUCUGUCUCAUGGACGCCCUGCUUGUAUCCCUGGUUCUGUCGUCGACAGGUACCAGGAGGCGCCUAAGCAGGCGGCGCCGUUCCAGCGGUUCCUCCCGCGUCGCUCUCUAAAUCGGGGGCAGCCUCCACCGAGUACCAGCUCCUCAUACAGGGAGGCACGGAAACACAGAAACGCUCUGGGUCGGGGGCUUCUAAGUCUAAGCCGGAUCUGCGGACCGUACUUAAAACUCUAGAACAGUUAGUUCGGCCGUCUCCUGCCGGUCCGCCGUUACAGGGCACCGAACUAGCUGUUCUGAUUACACCAGAGGUCAGUCUCGAGAAUCUGAUUCCCUUAGUAGAUCAUUUAGCAGCAUGAAAACUACUGCUAAAUGUGUCUCAAUGGGUCCUGCACACUGUAGAAAGAGGCUACAGAAUCCAGUUUGGUUCUCCUCCGCCUCGGUUCAACGGGAUUACUCCCACCCUGGUGGGCCCCGAGCAGGCUCUGGUUAUGGAACAGGAAGUGCUCACUCUCCUGAGGAAGGAGGCCAUCGAGAUGGUCCCUCCUCACGACAGAGGGUCCGGGUUCUACAGCCGGUACUUCAUAGUUCCAAAGAAGGAUGGAGGGUUGCGUCCCAUUUUAGACCUGCGUCUGUUGAACUGCUCAGUCAAGCGGUUGAAGUUCAGGAUGCUCACUCUCAAACAGGUCGUGUCUCAGAUCAGGUCCGAGGACUGGUUUGUCACGAUAGAUCUAAAAGACGCAUACUUCCAUGUCUCCAUCCUUCCCAAUCACAGGAAGUUCCUGAGGUUCGCUUUUGGGGGAAAAGCGUACCAAUAUCGGGUUCUUCCCUUUGGCCUUGCACUCUCACCCCGCACUUUCACGAAGUGUGUGGAUGCAGCUCUGGCUCCGUUGCGACUCCAGGGCAUCCGCAUACUAAACUAUAUCGACGAUUGGUUGAUUUUAGCUCAGUCAGAGCAGGAGGCGGUUCGGCAUCGAGAUGUCGUUCUCGCCCAUAUGAAAGAGCUGGGGUUAAGACUAAACGCCAAGAAAAGUGUGCUUUCUCCAUUACAGAGGACCACUUAUCUGGGCGUGGUGUGGGAUUCGACCACGAUGCAGGCACGUAUGUCACCUGCUCGGAUCGAGUCGAUCCUCACCGCAGUCGCGAGAGUGAGAGAAGGCCGGUCACUCACUGUCAAGCAGUUUCAGAAACUGCUGGGUCUGAUGGCAGCUGCGUCCAACGUGAUACCUAUUGGCCUGCUGUACAUGAGACCCCUACAGUGGUGGCUCAAGACCAAGGGGUUCUCCCCGAGGGGGAACCCACUUCGCAUGAUCAAGGUCACGCGGCGCUGCCUACGUGCCUUGGACAUGUGGAGGAAACCUUGGUUCUUGUCUCAGGGCCCGGUGCUGGGAGCUCCAUGUCGCCGCGUGACGCUAGCGACGGAUGCAUCCCUCACUGGCUGGGGUGCGGUCAUGAGUGGCCACCCUGCCCGCGGUUUAUGGAGGCAUAUAAACUGCCUGGAGAUGCUGGCCAUGCUUCAAGCAUUAAAACACUUUCUCCCAGACCUAAAAGGUCACCAUGUGUUGGUGCGCACCGACAACACAAUGGUGGUCUCUUAUAUCAACCACCAAGGGGUCUGUGCUCACGCCGUUUGUACAAACUAGCGUACCAGAUCCUUGUGUGGUCCCAGG